UUUUGUGAAGGGUUAAAAACGAAAUUAUAAAUAUUUAUAAGGAUAUUUGAUUAGCUUAAAAAUUCAGCUUAGACAAGAUUUGGGUAUUAUUUAAACACAUUGAGCGGGAACAUUUCUUCUUCUUUGCGAUUCUCCGAUCUCCUGCGCAGCCGCGACAGUCACUGCAAACCGAACUCACCUUCAUCUAAAUGUCGCCAUUUACAUCCUUUCCCAAACUCGGUUUCUGUGCAGAGCAAGAUAGCUACUGGCAGAAAACCAGAGCAAAAUGGCUUCAUGAAGAAUAAGCUAACCCUAACCACUUCCAUGAGUACAUUAACGAAACCAGAAAAGAAUACGAAACAUUAUUCCCAUAGAUAGAACUGUAGCUGUACCUGAGCACUUCAAUUUCAAGAGAAUUAAUGCGGAAGAUAAUGAGUUUUUGAUUUCUCCGAAGAGGAGGUAAGAAAGGCGGUCUGGGAUUGUGAUAGUUCAGACUCAGAAAAUCCUGGUCCUGAUGGAGUUAAUUUCACGUUUGUUAAGGAGUUUUGGGAGCUUAUUAAAGUGGAUUUCUUGAGGGUAGUGAUGGAAUUUCAUACUAAUGGAAAACUUGUUAAAGGUAAUGAUUGUUCGUUUGUAAUGCUUGUUCCUAAGAAAUAUAAUCCAAUGAAUGUGUCUGAUUUUAGAUGUGUUUCGUUAAAUGGGUGUAUUUAUAAGGUGAUAUCAAAAGUUUUGGCAAAUAGGUUGGAGCAUGUUAUUAGCAAAGUUAUAUCGGAACCUCAGUCUGUCAUUGUAGGUGGGAGACGGUUUUGGAUGGGGUUAGUAUUGCGAAUGAGAUAGUGGAUGAGGCGAAAAGAAUGAAAAAAGAGGUGGUGAUGUUUAAAGUGAAUUUUGGAGGAAAGGCUUAUGAAUCUAUUGAAUUGGAAGUAUCUGGAUUAUGUCAUGGAGAAAAUGGGAUUUCAUGGUAGAUGGAGGGAAUGGAUCUUAGAAUGUUUGAAGGCUGCCUCGGUCUCAGCCCUAAGGAACGGUAGUCCUAUAGAAGAAUUUGAGAUCGGUUGUGGGUUAAGACGAGAGGAUCCAUUGUCACCAUUUCUUUUCCUCAUAGCAAUAUAAUCUUUUAAUUUGAUGACGAGGAAGAUGGUGGAGUUUGGAUUAUUCUCAGAUUUCAGAUUUGAAGGGAGUGAUGAGCAAAUUUCUCACUUACAACAUGAAGAAUAUUAUUGGCAUAAAAGCAAUCCUUUAUGGAAUGACAUUUUUGAUGGGUCUGAGAUGCCAUUUUUACAAAAGUCCGCUGGUUGGGAUAAAUAUAUCUCCUACCUGGCUUGAAGAUGCAGCUUCGAGGCUGCAUUGUGAAAUUGGUAGUCUUCCUUUUACAUAUCUUUGAUUGCCAAUAGGGGAAAAUCCAAGGAAAAGUUCAACGUGGCAAACCAUGUUAGAUGCCGUGAGAAAUAGGUUGUCAGAUUGGAAGAAUAAACUCCUUUCCGUUGGAGGCCGUGUUGUAAUCAUCAAAUCACUCUUGUCAGCGCUGCUAGUUUACUUCGUCUCUUCAAGGCUCCGUCAGGCACAAUGGAUUGAGCUUUUGUGCAUUAGAACCAGUUGGCUUCUACAAACGCUGGCUAUUCUGAUCAUCCUGUAAAAGCUACAUUUGCUGAUUUUGACCCAACUGCCGGACCAUUUUGCCAUACAUAAAUGAUGGAUUUCUCAAAUGAAUGCUGAGCAGAAAGAAAGAAAAAGUCAAUGCCAUUAAAUCGAAUCACUUUAUACUUCAUAUAGACUUGCAUAGUUGCAUAUACUCCAGAAAGAGAGCUUCAUUGUUAGGUCCAAUCAGUGUAAGCUUCUUACCUGCAAUUUCUUAAUUCACAUGUCAAAACCUUAAACAGUGUAAAACUUGAAACGAAUGGUGGUGACUGGCUUCGAGCAAGGUGCGCAAAGCCUACAGGUAUAGGUGCAAUAUAAUGCUAACAGCACAAUGGCAUACAUCAUGUUGCUGUGUAAUUCGAGCUUUUUGAAGUCUUUCUUCCUUUGUUGUAAUUUUAAACAUGUCUUUAGUGUAAAGAAAAGUAUUAACAAGGAUACUAGAACUUAUAGACUGCUUAUGUAACUCUACUGUUUCCCUUUCAAUAUUCAUCUCAGUUCAACAUGUAUAAA